UAAAUAGUUAUGCCAACGAAUGUUGGUAGCCAACUUCUUAGAGGGACUGUCGGCGAUUAGCCGACGGAAGUUUUAGGCAAUAACAGGUCUGUUAUGCCCUUAGAUGUCCUGGGCCGCACGCGCGCUACACUG
rnacentral:rRNA from 1 species